rnacentral:rRNA from 1 species
CCUACGGGGUGCUGCAGUGGGGAAUAUUGGACAAUGGGCGAAAGCCUGAUCCAGCCAUGCCGCGUGUGUGAAGAAGGCCUUCGGGUUGUAAAGCACUUUCAGUUGGGAAGAAAGCCUUGGGGCUAAUACCCUCGAGGAAGGACAUCACCCACAGAAGAAGCACCGGCUAACUCCGUGCCAGCAGCCGCGGUAAUACGGAGGGUGCGAGCGUUAAUCGGAAUUACUGGGCGUAAAGCGCGCGUAGGCGGUCUGAUAAGCCGGUUGUGAAAGCCCCGGGCUCAACCUGGGAACGGCAUCCGGAACUGUCAGGCUAGAGUGCAGGAGAGGAAGGUAGAAUUCCCGGUGUAGCGGUGAAAUGCGUAGAGAUCGGGAGGAAUACCAGUGGCGAAGGCGGCCUUCUGGACUGACACUGACGCUGAGGUGCGAAAGCGUGGGUAGCAAACAGGAUUAGAUACCCGGGUAGUC